AUGAGAUGGGGUCAUGUAGUUUCCUUUUCGUUGCGAACAAGAAGUGGAGGGCAUAAAAAAGUUGACACCACGGUUUUCAUGAUAAUCCAUUCAUGCUUCGAUCCCACAAUAGAAAAAGGAGAGAGAGAGAGAGAGAAGAUAGAGCUAUCAAUUACUAGUUUCUUUCUUUUUCUCAUAGAGAGAGAUGGCACGAACUACCUUGGAUUUUUCUUCAACCUUUCAACGACUUCACCCAACACCAAUCAUCAUUAUUCCCUCAUCCUCUCUGACCAAAAACCCUAA